rnacentral:rRNA from 1 species
UCAAGUUGAUAGCCUUCGGCGUAAAGAGUGGUUAAGGGAAUUCUACACUAAAGCCAAAUGACUUCAAAGCUGUUAUACGCACACGAAAGUACGAAGCCCAACUACGAAAGUGGCUUUAACCCUCUGACCCCACGAAAGCUGGGAUACAAACUGGGAUUAGAUACCCCACUAUGCCUAGCCCUAAACAUCGAUAAUAAUUUACUUCCUUUAUCCGCCCGGGAACUACGAGCAUCAGCUUAAAACCCAAAGGACUUGGCGGUGCUUUAGAUCCACCUAGAGGAGCCUGUUCUAGAACCGAUAAUCCCCGUUAAACCUCACCUUUCCUUGUCUUAUCCGCCUAUAUACCGCCGUCGUCAGCUUACUCUGUGAAGAAUAAGUAGUAAGCACAACUGGCACAGCCCAAAACGCCAGGUCGAGGUGUAGCGUAUGGAAGGGGAAGAAAUGGGCUACAUUCAAUAGUUAUAAUGAAUACGAAUGAUACACUGAAAAAGUAUCUGAAGGAGGAUUUAGUAGUAAGCAGAGAAUAGAGCGCUCUCCUGAAUUUGGCCCUGAAGCGCGUACACACCGCCCGUCACUCUCCCCGAGCUAAAAUUUUCACAUUACUAAUCAACCACAACUGCAAA